rnacentral:rRNA from 1 species
GAUGAACGCUAGCGGCAGGCCUAACACAUGCAAGUCGAGGGAGAGGUUACCUUCGGGUAACCAAUACCGGCGCACGGGUGCGUAACGCGUAUACAAUCUGCCUUUCACAUAGGGAUAGCCCGAAGAAAUUUGGAUUAAUACCUAAUGGUAUAUAAGAGCGGCAUCGUUUUUAUAUUAAAGCUACGGUGGUGAAAGAUGAGUAUGCGUUCUAUUAGCUAGUUGGAGAGUUAACGGCUCACCAAGGCGACGAUAGAUAGGGGUUCUGAGAGGGAUGUACCCCACACUGGUACUGCGAUACGGACCAGACUGCUACGGGAGGCAGCAGUGAGGAAUAUUGGACGAUGGUCGGAAGACUGAUCCAGCCAUGCCGCGUGCAGGAUGAAGGUGCUAUGGAUGGUAAACUGCUUUUGUAAGAGAAGAAUAAGGAGUACGCGUACUGUGAUGACGGUACCUUACGAAUAAGCAUCGGCUAACUCCGUG